AGAGUUUGAUCCUGGCUCAGGAUGAACGCUAGCGACAGGCUUAACACAUGCAAGUCGAGGGGCAGCACAGGUAGCAAUACCGGGUGGCGACCGGCGCACGGGUGAGUAACGCGUAUGCAACUUACCUAUCAGAGGGGGAUAACCCGGCGAAAGUCGGACUAAUACCGCAUGAAGCAGGGGCCCCGCAUGGGGAUAUUUGCUAAAGAUUCAUCGCUGAUAGAUAGGCAUGCGUUCCAUUAGGCAGUUGGCGGGGUAACGGCCCACCAAACCGACGAUGGAUAGGGGUUCUGAGAGGAAGGUCCCCCACAUUGGUACUGAGACACGGACCAAACUCCUACGGGAGGCAGCAGUGAGGAAUAUUGGUCAAUGGGCGUAAGCCUGAACCAGCCAAGUCGCGUGAGGGAUGAAGGUUCUAUGGAUCGUAAACCUCUUUUAUAAGGGAAUAAAGUGCGGGACGUGUCCCGUUUUGUAUGUACCUUAUGAAUAAGGAUCGGCUAACUCCGUGCCAGCAGCCGCGGUAAUACGGAGGAUCCGAGCGUUAUCCGGAUUUAUUGGGUUUAAAGGGUGCGUAGGCGGCCUUUUAAGUCAGCGGUGAAAGUCUGUGGCUCAACCAUAGAAUUGCCGUUGAAACUGGGGGGCUUGAGUAUGUUUGAGGCAGGCGGAAUGCGUGGUGUAGCGGUGAAAUGCAUAGAUAUCACGCAGAACCCCGAUUGCGAAGGCAGCCUGCCAAGCCAUUACUGACGCUGAUGCACGAAAGCGUGGGGAUCAAACAGGAUUAGAUACCCUGGUAGUCCACGCAGUAAACGAUGAUCACUAGCUGUUUGCGAUACACUGUAAGCGGCACAGCGAAAGCGUUAAGUGAUCCACCUGGGGAGUACGCCGGCAACGGUGAAACUCAAAGGAAUUGACGGGGGCCCGCACAAGCGGAGGAACAUGUGGUUUAAUUCGAUGAUACGCGAGGA
rnacentral:rRNA from 1 species